rfam:Felis catus isolate Cinnamon breed Abyssinian chromosome E2, whole genome shotgun sequence.
GCCUGGCUGGCUCAGUCGGUAGAGCAUGAGGCUCUUGAUCCUAGGGUUGUGAGUUCGAGCCCCACAUUGGGUG